AUGCUUGCUUCGGCAGUAUAUAUACUAAAAUUGGAACAAUAUAGACAAGAUUAGCAUGGCCCCUGCA
rnacentral:snRNA from 10 species